UGUAAGCGUAUACCAAAGUUGUUGCAGUUAAAACGCUCGUAGUCGUAGCUUGGCAGUUCCGGAUGUGUGCACGUCGUGUGCGCACUUCGCGGGGAUUGCUUUUGUGGUCUUGCGUAGGAUGAGGCACUUUUAUUAGUGAACGUCCUCACGCAACCACUUUUUACUGUGAGAAAAUCAGAGUGCUCAAAGCAGGCAUUUGCCGUGAAUGUAUUAGCAUGGAAUAAUAGAAUAGGACUUGGUUCUAUUUUGUUGGUUUGUUGGGACUGAGUAAUGAUUAAGAGGGACAGUUGGGGGCAUUUGUAUUUCGGUGCUAGAGGUGAAAUUCUUAGAUUACCGAAAGACAAACUGCUGCGAAAGCGUCUGCCAAGGAUGUUUUCAUUGA
rnacentral:rRNA from 1 species